rnacentral:rRNA from 1 species
UGGGGAAUAUUGCACAAUGGGGGAAACCCUGAUGCAGCGACGCCGCGUGAGCGAUGAAGGCUUUCGAGUCGUAAAGCUCUGUCCUAUGGGAAGAUAAUGACGGUACCAUAGAAGAAAGCCCCGGCUAAUUACGUGCCAGCAGCCGCGGUAAUACGUAAGGGGCGAGCGUUGUCCGGAAUUAUUGGGCGUAAAGAGUGCGUAGGCGGCAAAUUAAGUCAGAUGUGAAAACUAAGGGCUCAACCCAUAGAUUGCAUCUGAAACUGAUAUGCUUGAGUCAAGGUGAGGAAAGUGGAAUUCCUAGUGUAGCGGUGGAAUGCGUAGAUAUUAGGAGGAAUACCGGUGGCGAAGGCGACUUUCUGGACUUGAACUGACGCUGAGGCACGAAAGCGUGGGGAGCAAACAGG